GUAGGUGGCAAGCGUUGUCCGGAAUUAUUGGGCGUAAAGCGCGCGCAGGCGGUCCUUUAAGUCUGAUGUGAAAGCCCACGGCUCAACCGUGGAGGGUCAUUGGAAACGGGGGGACUUGAGUACAGAGGAGGAAAGCGGAAUUCCAAGUGUAGCGGUGAAAUGCGUAGAGAUUUGGAGGAACACCAGUGGCAAAGGCGGCUUUCUGGUCUGUAACUGACGCUGAGGCGCGAAAGCGUGGGGAGCAAACAGGAUUAGAUACCCUGGUAGUCCACGCCGUAAACGAUGAGUGCUAAGUGUUAGGGGGUUUCCCGCCCCCCUUAGUGCUGCAGCUAACGCAUUAAGCACUCCGCCUGGGGGAGUACGGCCGCAAGGCUG
rnacentral:rRNA from 1 species